AAAGGAAGUGGCUUUACCAUAGUAAAUUACUAUGGUAAAGCCACUUCCAUU
rnacentral:sRNA from 1 species